rnacentral:rRNA from 1 species
CCUACGGGGGACAGCAGUAGGGAAUCUUCCACAAUGGGCGAAAGCCUGAUGGAGCAACGCCGCGUGGGUGAAGAAGGUCUUCGGAUCGUAAAACCCUGUUGUUAGAGAAGAAAGUGCGUGAGAGUAACUGUUCACGUUUCGACGGUAUCUAACCAGAAAGCCACGGCUAACUACGUGCCAGCAGCCGCGGUAAUACGUAGGUGGCAAGCGUUAUCCGGAUUUAUUGGGCGUAAAGGGAACGCAGGCGGUCUUUUAAGUCUGAUGGGAAAGCCUUCGGCUUAACCGGAGUAGUGCAUUGGAAACUGGGAGACUUGAGUGCAGAAGAGGAGAGUGGAACUCCAUGUGUAGCGGUGAAAUGCGUAGAUAUAUGGAAGAACACCAGUGGCGAAAGCGGCUCUCUGGUCUGUAACUGACGCUGAGGUUCGAAAGCGUGGGUAGCAAACAGGAUUAGAUACCCGAGUAGUC